UGGGGGAUAUUGCACAAUGGGCGAAAGCCUGAUGCAGCGACGCCGCGUGGGGGAUGAAGGCUUUCGGGUUGUAAACCUCUUUCGCUAUCGAACAAGGCCCGCUUAGGGUGGGUUGAGGGUAGGUGGAGAAGAAGCGCCGGCUAACUACGUGCCAGCAGCCGCGGUAAUACGUAGGGCGCGAGCGUUGUCCGGAAUUAUUGGGCGUAAAGGGCUUGUAGGCGGCUUGUUGCGCCUGCUGUGAAAACGCGGGGCUUAACUUCGCGCGUGCAGUGGGUACGGGCAGGCUUGAGUGUGGUAGGGGUGACUGGAAUCCCAGGUGUAGCGGUGGAAUGCGCAGAUAUCUGGAGGAACACCGAUGGCGAAGGCAGGUCACUGGGCCAUUACUGACGCUGAGGAGCGAAAGCAUGGGUAGCGAACAGG
rnacentral:rRNA from 1 species